GCUCGCUCCUUCAGUUAGUGGACAGCGCUGGGAGGGAGCGGUACUACUGUACAUUCUUCUUGUCUUGUUGAUCAAUAAUUGUGUUGCCGUGCUGGCAUCGGCUACAUGUUCAAGAAUCUGGAAUUUAGAUUUUAAAUACUCGGUGUUACAGGUGUGUGACAACACUGUGUUGCAGGGAACGACCUUCACAAUGGAUAAAGGGAAAAUGUCCUGUUUGAGCUGUACAUUUGUCGAGGAUCCAUGUACUGAAGGAGGUGACUCGAGUCUUGCCCAGGAGUCAUCAGUGACGCGACACAUCACAAAGUCCAGCGCAAGCCAGCUUGUUACCGAUGAAGAAUGUAUUGCAGAAAGUAACAGUAUAAAUUUCGCUGGGCAAUCUCUUACUCAGCAAACACAUACUAAUAGAACCCAAUAUAUCCUCAGUAAACCAUUCACUAAAUGUGAACCCAGACACAGCGAGAGACAACAGCAAGAUCUGCGCCCAGGAACCUCACACUGUAUCAUGCCGCCAUCAGUCUCCGAGGCUGGCUAAUAGUCUCACUGAAAACACCUCUCGAUCAGACGUCUAGCCAAAACCCUAUUGUCGAUGAAAGCUUGUCCUCUCAACCAGUCACAUUUCCAGGAAUCAAACAAAGACACAGAUACUGAAUACAGCUUAGACCAGUCACUAACGAGAGCUGACUAUGUUGCGAAAGAACAACAGAUAUUUAUCGGAUUUACCGCCAGCCGAUGAGGAGUGUUCAGCUAGACAGAACAAGACAUCCUCGACAGCAAAUAAACAGGUUCUUGAAAGAGAUAAAACACUGAAAAUGAUGAGGAGUACAUCACAGGCGACCAGAUGCAACGUCUCAUCACCAGUGUCAUCAGUGACCCGUAUACCUACAAAAGUAACUCGAAGUUCAUCAUCAGCAACGGUGGAUCUACAAAGCUUGUCAGAGGAUGAGUCCAGUAAUUCAUCUCCGUAACUAUGGACAUGGAAACUUUAGGUGAAGGAAGAGACAGGAAGCCAUUAUCAGUUCCUACGGAUGUUCAAAUAUUACAAGAAGGUUGGACCAGCAGCAGACAUUCAGUCACUGAGGGAUCCAGGAGUUCAUCUCCAUUACCUGUGAACACUCGGCAUUCAGAAGAAGGAUCUGGCAGUUUAUCACUAGUGACCAUGUCUACUCAAACACGGUUCAAUGGAAUGUCUGAGAGUUCCACCCCAGAGAUUAUUUCCAUUGAAACUCCACCAAGCGGAAGGUCUAGAAGCUCAACUCCGGUUCUUACAUAUACAACAUCCCGAAGUCCUUCCCCAGUGUGUGUCUCGACUCAAACAUCGAUAAACAGAAGGACCACGAGUAGUAUACGAAUGAGUGUGUCUACCCAGACAUCGAGAUGUGUGAGGUCCACUAGCACACUGCCUGUGACUAUACCGGCCGCAACACAGAGGGACGUUCUGGAGGUCCGGGUAUAUGGGCGCUCUUCACAAAAAAUUUGUAGAAGAUAAAUGCAGGAAAGUUAAGAAGAAGCGCCUUAAGCCUGUAAUUACCAAAAAAGGAAGAGCAAACACUGCACAAAACUUUAAAGUCUUCUCUUCAAACCCGAAGAGCAAUGAAGUCUGACAACCCGUCUGUAAUACCCAAGUUAACCAUAAAACUACGAACCAGGAAGUACACUCAACACACAUUGGCUUCUGUGUCUGGUCAAACACAACCGAAAAGAAGAUCCAGAAGACUUAAAGAAGCCCUUGCUCCUGCCCAACUAAAUAAGGUAACCAAAAAGUCAGAAAAUCAACUUCUUUUGUGUCCACCUGGCCAAACGCAGAAGACCACACCGAAGGAUAUAACCUCAGAUGAUGCGUUUGUCGGAACAUCAGUCACUGAGAUCGGCGAGAAGUCACCCAUGGGGUCUGCAUUAUCCCCCCCCAAAAAUAAUGAAAAAACGGUGAAUCUGUCACAGGAUGAAAAAUCAACCACAUUAUCUGGUGACGCUGAUGUGAAGAGCAGGAAUAUAAAAGGAAACCCGAAUUUAUCUAAAGAUUUACACAAGCGGAGACAAGGAAAAGAAACAAAUGAAUCUCCAGAUACAGCAAAAGUAGUUACUGAUAUUACCCAGAGUGCAGGAACCACGAAUUCACUGCCACUCGAGCAAACAUUUCCCCCACAGGUUCAAAAAAGAAAAUGUGGCGCCACACCCACAUCACUUAAAAAGAAGUGUCACGGGCCUAAUACUGUGAGUGCUACUCCUGUAUCAACAAAAAAAGAAUAAGACAAACAUUCCUCCAGCUAACUACGCCUCUCCUGAAACAACAGAGGCGUUCAAGGCAGUGGAGGAGGGGAACCUAGAGCGGGUGGAGGACUUGGUGCAGCUCACUAGUCCAACAGUGAGGAAUAUCCAGACUGGCUGUACUCUUCUGCACGCUGCAGCAGCUAACAACCAGUCACACGUUGUGCUGUUCCUCCUCAAGCUGAUCAGCCCCAAUGUAGUUAACAAGGACGGCCAGACACCAGCUCACCUGGCCGAGGGGCCACACUAAAGUGCUGAAGAUUUUAUUGUCUGAUGAGGAAAUGAACCACGACAAACGGGACAUCUGCCACAGGACUUACAAAGACAUGGUAGGUACAGUUUUAUUG